GACGAACGCUGGCGGCGUGCUUAACACAUGCAAGUCGAACGGAAAGGCCCUGCUUUUGUGGGGUGCUCGAGUGGCGAACGGGUGAGUAACACGUGAGUAACCUGCCCUUGACUUUGGGAUAACUUCAGGAAACUGGGGCUAAUACCGGAUAGGAGCUCCUGCUGCAUGGUGGGGGUUGGAAAGUUUCGGCGGUUGGGGAUGGACUCGCGGCUUAUCAGCUUGUUGGUGGGGUAGUGGCUUACCAAGGCUUUGACGGGUAGCCGGCCUGAGAGGGUGACCGGCCACAUUGGGACUGAGAGACGGCCCAGACUGCUACGGGAGGCAGCAGUGGGGAAUAUUGCACAAUGGGCGGAAGCCUGAUGCAGCAACGCCGCGUGCGGGAUGACGGCCUACGGGUUGUAAACCGAUGUCGCCGGUGACGAAGCGUGAGUGACGGUAAUGGGUAAAGAAGCACCGGCUAACUACGUG
rnacentral:rRNA from 1 species